AGAAUGCUGCAGCUGACAAGUUAGAUCAAGAGAGUUCUACGACAACCAACAGAUCUACUCUUCCACCAGCUAUUUCUUCAAAUAUCACUAUUAGCUCAGGCUCCUCUACUGCUAGUAUCAGUCAAACCAGGAGAGAGACUGAAGAAGGUAUUAUACUAACACACAAUAAUUAAUGCAUGUACAAUGUACA